rnacentral:rRNA from 1 species
AUGGGUAUCUGGCGUGAGAGCGUGGCCAGACACACGGGCACUGAGACACGGGCCCGACUCCUACGGGAGGCAGCAGUAGGGAUAUUGGUCAAUGGAGGAAACUCUGAACCAGCCAUCCCGCGUGAAGGACGACGGCCUCUGGGUUGUAAACUUCUUUUAUUAGGGGAGAAACSUCCGAUUCAUCGGAGCUG